ensembl:rRNA 5S_rRNA 5S ribosomal RNA
GUCUACGGCCAUACCACCCUGAACUCCCCCGAUCUCGUCAGAUCUUGGAAGCUAAGCAGGGUCGGGCCUGGUUAGUACUUGGAUGGGAGAAAAUUCCUGUGGAGCAGGUGGUUGGACC